GCAUCGAUGAAGAACGCAGCGAAAUGCGAUAAGUAAUGUGAAUUGCAGAAUUCAGUGAAUCAUCGAAUCUUUGAACGCACCUUGCGCUCCUUGGUAUUCCGAGGAGCAUGCCUGUUUGAGUGUCAUGAAAACCCUCAACCUUAGAUUGGUUAUUUGACCUUUCUUUGGCUUGGAUUUGGACGUUUGCCGAUGAUAAGUCGGCUCGUCUUAAAAGUAAUAGCCGGAUCUGUCUCGCGACAUGGUUUGACUUGGCGUAAUAAGUAUUUCGCUAAGGACAUCUUCGGAUGGCCCUGUUGCAGACUAAAGACCGCUUUCUAAUCCAUUAAUCUUCGGAUUGAUAUUUCAUAACAUCUGGCCUCAAAUCAGGUAGGACUACCCGCUGAACUUAAGCAUAUCAAUAAGCGGAGGA
rnacentral:rRNA from 1 species